rnacentral:rRNA from 1 species
AUUGAACGCUGGCGGCAGGCCUAACACAUGCAAGUCGAACGAGUGGCGGACGGGUGAGUAAUGUCUGGGAAACUGCCUGAUGGAGGGGGAUAACUACUGGAAAAGGUAGCUAAUACCGCAUACCAUCGGAUGUGCCCAGAUGGGAUUAGCUAGUAGGUGGGGUAAAGGCUCACCUAGGCGACGAGCCCUAGCUGGUCUGAGAGGCUGACCAGCCACACUGGAACUGAGACACGGUCCAGACUCCUACGGGAGGCAGCAGUGGGGAAUAUUGGACAAUGGGCGCAAGCCUGAUGCAGCCAUGCCGCGUGUGUGAAGAAGGCCUUCGGGUUGUAAAGCACUGUCAGCGGGGAGGCGUUACCCGCAGAAGAAGCACCGGCUAACUCCGUGCCAGCAGCCGCGGUAAUUC